UCAGUGCUGGCUAAUUCCAGGAACUGAGACUGUAUCUAAAUGCAAAUCUCAUCCUUUGGAACCACUUUCCUUUGGGUCCUGAAACACUGUGGAAAUGGCAGUGGAUAUUACACAGGAUGGCCCUCACCUGCUCAGCUCCUUUAGUAUGGACAACUCCAGGGGAUCCCAGCUGGGUUUCCUGGCUGCAGGUCACACAGGUCUGAAGAUUGAAAGAGAGAGAAAAGAAAAAUUUUUCCAAGGUCUCUUGGAAAGCAAAUGGUGCUGCUGGAGGGAAAACCAAUCAAUUCAGAGGUCUGGGCCAGUUCUCUGUUCAAGUGCUCUGCUCCCUCCUUUGCUUCCAACUGUUCCUGUUUCCCAAGAAAACAAACAUCUCCACUGCAGCUUCCAAGUAG